UACGGGGGGAGCAAGCGUUGUUCGGAUUUACUGGGCGUAAAGGGCGCGUAGGCGGCAGCACAAGUCAGUUGUGAAAUCUCCGGGCUUAACUCGGAAAGGUCAACUGAUACUGUGCGACUAGAGUGCAGAAGGGGCAACUGGAAUUCUCGGUGUAGCGGUGAAAUGCGUAGAUAUCGAGAGGAACACCUGCGGCGAAGGCGGGUUGCUGGGCUGACACUGACGCUGAUGCGCGAAAGCCAGGGGAGCGAACGGG
rnacentral:rRNA from 1 species